AAAAAUUUCUUCAGCACUAUUUACACAGUAUCUACAGUGAGUCCUCUGUGUGUGUUUCAUUGUGCAGUCACUGAUGCAGCUGCAGUCGACUCAGAAGACGUCAGAGACAAGAAAAACAGAUCAAAGCUACGAGGAUGGGAUUCAACUGUGGUCUACUCAGCAGUGAGAACUGAAGGCAUCAGUGAUGGACUAGAAAGCAUCAGAACCAGGAGGAGCAGGCUUUAAACCACAGAAAGAUCUCUGCUCUCCACUGAAGCAGCCCUCCACUCUCUAACUCAGGAUCCUCACAGCCAGGCCUCGAGGGCCGGUGUCCUGCAGCUUUUAGAUGUGUCCCUGAUCCAACACACCUGAAUCAAAUGGCUGAA